rnacentral:pre_miRNA from 1 species
UCAUUACUCCCUCCGAUCGAUAUUACUUUGUCGCUGAAAUUGAUGUAUCUAGACGUAUUUCAGUGCUAGAUACAUCCGUUUGAGCGACAAGUAAUAUGGAUCGGAGGAAGUACUAU